rnacentral:lncRNA from 1 species
ACAGCAUUAAACAGUUGCUCCCUGUUUCAUCCUGAGGCACCCAGGGAGACCUUUCUCCUGUUUCCUCUUUGGGAUCCUGUCUGAUCACUUGUUCUCCAUGGGUUCCCAGGCACCUGGCCUUGGCUGGGCUCAUGGGGAGAAAAUAAAGGAUACGGGGCUCGUUUGAAGCUGCCUGGGAGAGGGACGGUACUUGGCCUCACCACUGAGUGCACCCAGACUGACUGGGACUAUAACAGAUGUUUGAAAGUGACAAGGAAGGGCUGGUGUAGUUCCGUGGUAGAAUACUUGCCUAGCAUUUGCAAGGCCCUGGGUUCCAUACCCAGGACCAAAUGCACAAUAAAGGAUAAAGCGGGCUGAGUGCAUCCAUGAGGUUGAUGAACAGAUGUGAGGAGGCUGUACAGGCCACCACCUCUAUCCAGGAAACCGCCCGGCUGCUUCCUGCCUGCGGAGCUGCCUGUCUUACUGGUUGUCUUUCUACAGACACCCCUAUCCUGGCAAGAGCCAGAAGGUGAGCGGGCCAGCUUCUGCAUGCACAAGCGAUCAGCAUCAUGGGGUAGCACAGACCACCGAAAAGAGAUCACCAAGUUGAGGCAACAGCUGCAGAGGACAAAGCUGAGCCGCAGUGGGAAGGAGAAGGAGCGGAGCUCCCCUGUCCAAGGGGACCAUGCUGUACUGGGAGCAGUGAGGGUAUCCCUUCCUAGCCUCCCCGCAG